GAAAAAAGAAAAAAAAAAAGCAAAUAAGUGACGUUUUGAGCUUUGAGGUCUAAGACUUUAUAAAGGAAAGGGUACAAAAGACAGUGCAGCAGUCAAGUCAGGAAAAUGGCAAUGAAUUUUCAGUAGUGUGCUUGACUUCCUUUUUAACUGUCAGUGUCUUAUUCUGGAAUCUGUAUCUUAUUACUGACUGCUGAUUAAAUUAUUCAGUGGUUAUUUGAAAGUUGGCAAACAGAUUUUCUCUAAAUCUAAACACAAUUAUCCGUAAGAUAGGAGUGGAUAGGAUGGUGACAUGAGAUGCUUUCUCAUUUAAGCAGUAGCUCCAGUCUACCAAACCUCAUACUUUUAAGUUACUGUCUAUUCUGCCCUGUUAGAAACAUGGUGAUUUCACAUGUUAAUAGUACCUUGGAUGUAAGAUGUAAAUCUACUUCUUAAACUGUGUGUAUGUUGGCAUUUUUGACAAUUUGACUAACUUUUUGAGAGAAGAGUUUGUUCGUAAGGAAACAGGAUAAAACAGCCAAUAAACAAAUAUUUUGCUAAUAAAGUCUACAUUAAUUUGUAAUGUCUGAAAAUGACAUUUUUUUUUCCUGGUAACUUUGUUAGGGCCUUAUCAACUAUGCCUUUUAGGCUGUGACUAGCAGUGAAAUCUAUGUGAUCAUCAGCAAGAAUAACAAACUACUUGGGCUAGUUUUAAUUGAAUAUUUGUGGCAUGUCAUAAAAUACAGGAUAAUUAGGAUGCUGUUGGUUGGGCAGAAUUGAAUAAUUCUGGCAACACUUGAUUAAGCUUUGCAGAAGAGAUGAAGGGCUAUUGCCACUUAGCACAUAUGUGAUUAAUGGAAAUAGGAACCCUGGUAUGGAAGGAACAUCUUGGGCACUGUUUCUGUUGUGAGCUCAGAAGCAGGGUGAUAACUUCUACAGUUUAAGGGAAGAAAAUCUUUCUCCUGCUUUUCCAGUGUCUUGCAUAGGUCCUUUCUGUUUCUGCCUCUUCAGCCCUGGCAUCAAAUUCAACUGCUAGGUCUUCUUUCAAAAAAAACAUUAGUGGAACCAAUAAUAUCUAAGUGACCCUGUUGAAGUCAAGUCUGUGAUGUUAUAUAUAUAUCUGUCAGAAUUUUCCUGGAAGAAUGUAAAUUUACAGUAAAUGCAGCACUGAAAUCAAAAAUACUGUUCUGUAAUACAUUUCUGCACAGGUCAGCAUAUUAAGUUGGUACAUUAUGAAAGCCUGGCAACAGAAAUAGUCUUUCUCAGUCUCUUACUCAUUUUCCAGGAACAUAAAUGAAGGUGAUUGCAUGUUGAAUAAAGAAUAAAACAUUUUUAUUCUCAUUUCUAGACUCUAAAUAAUUAUUAAAUGCAGUACAAAGACUGUAAGUGAAUUAGCUUUUCAACCCAGUAUUGACCAAUAACAGAUUCUACUAAUGGUGGGAAUUGUGUUAAUGAGAAGUUUGCAAGAGAAAGAUUUAUAUGCAUUCAUCAUAUGCAGGUUUCAUAACAUGAGAUUUUGUGGUAUGAAUAGAAGCUUUGAGCAAGUUACUAAGAAAAUAGAGAGGCUACAGUAUGCAAGAAUUUCACCAUAGAGGAAUGAAGAUUGUAUUCUAGGUCUCAAUUUUGAGGUUCUUCUGAAUGGCUUAUCAUGUUGUUCUUGCAUGCAAGCUGUAAAUUCAGGCGAUCAUAUCUACUCAACAUAUUCUAACGCAUCUUCAUAGUUCCACAGUCCCAAGCUACAAAACACUUUUUUUGUUGUACAUUGUUUUUUCUUUUUCUGUUUGUUUAUGUGUUUGUGUUGUUGUUUUUGGUUUUGUUUUCCCCUUUCUCUGGGUGUCAGCUUGAAAUCAUCUAAUUAGCUUGAUCCCUGUUCUGUCUUUGUAUAGGAAAGGGAGGAAGGGGAAUGUAAAGAAGGCAUAAUGCUCUGAUGCUCUCAUGGAGAACACCUUCUACAGAGUCCUAAUCUCCAAGGACAAAAGCUGAGAGCAUCAAGCCACAUCAAGUUAACAUGCUUGGCAGUCCUCCUCCAUCAGCCAUCAGAACAAAAUGGUCUGCAGGAUCCUGGUUGACUGCUCAGACUAGCAGAGAAACUUCUCAAGUCCUCUGGAGGAUGUUUAUCUGGAAACAAUUACUGCUGUAAAGGAGAAUGGGCUGGAUCUGACUGUACUAGCCACAACACUAGAGACAAUAUAAAGAUCCUUGGCCCAAACUGACAACCUUCAUUCAAAGCCACUAUCUGAAGGGAAGAGAGACGAAUCUAAAGAAUCUCUGUCAAAUGUGUUCAGAAAUGAUGCAGCUGAUCAGCAGUUUAACCUUGAAGCUGCAAUUAAAAAUGUUGGCAAAAUGUCUGAUGAGCUAAAGAAACUAAAUGUGGAAAGCCAGCUGCUGCUUUGUGACCUUAUUUUGAAUUUCAACCAUCCCCUGAAGGCCAAAGAUUUAAGAGAAGCUGAAGAAAAAACUCGGAGUUUGACAGAUUAAGUAAUACCAUCCAUUUUCAUACAUUGUCUUCUAUUAAUAGCAAUUGAGUUUCAAUUGAAAAGUGACAAUAUGGUUUCCUGCACUUGGAUUAUUUUUAUUUUGAAUUGGAAAUGUAGAAUGGAAAACAUUUUUGAUUUUGGCAGAGAUUUUAACCUAAAUUUCUCAAAUAUACUAGGUUUGGAAAGAGUAGCAAAAUUAACUAGGAAGGUCAGGAAAUGGGGCAUGAAGUUCUUCACAUGCCUCCUUUUAAAUGAAGACAUAUUGGAAGAGUAACAAAAAGAUUUAAAAUUACUUCACGUCAAGUUAUUGCUCUUGUCUCAGUUGUGUUCCGGAAAAUGGGAUGAGAAAUAUUCAAUAAAAGAGGAACUGCAAGUCAUCAUUUGAUAUGCCUUCCUUAUUCUAAAAAUGUUGCUGUGGAAGGAGGCCACAGAGCAAAUUACUUCUGGAAAACCAGAAGUAUUUCUAUAGUGACUUUCUAAUGCAUAUAGAUUCAAAAGAAAGCAAAAGUUAGUAGUUCAAAUACUCCACUAUGAAGUUUUCUCAGCUAAAAAUUUGUGUAGCCAGUGUAUUCAUAUAAGUAGAAUUCAUAUUUAAGCAGAAUUCCUAUUCAAUCAUACUUUACUUGUAAAAAUUAUCAUCACUUGUGAAAAUGUUUGAAUGUUGAAAUAUGUUUUUAGUCAUACAAAACAUGUUUAUCUGAAUAAUCAAAUCCAGAUUUACUUUGUAGAAAAAGAAUAUGUAGAGCUAUAAUUUGUUAUGUAGGUUUACAUUUUAUUGCUCUUUCCAUAAGUGGGAAAAAAAUGGUGAUUUAAAAACAAAUGAAACAAUUUCAUAGGAGGCAUUUCAGGGUUGUCAGAAUUUUCAAGACAGUGUAAUAAAAUUACAACCUCCAGUUUACACACUCAAUGGUAAUAUUGUGGGAUUGAUCUUAAUUUUAGCAUUUUUGGAAAGACAUAUUAAAACUGAAUUUUCUUUCACAAGACUUGUAGCAGGUUUUUAAAAAAAUACAGUAAUAAAGAUAGGCUUUGUCAGCUGAA